rnacentral:pre_miRNA from 1 species
AAAACAACAUUAGGACGGUCGGUCUACCGAGAAAUAUGACCCGCUCGGUGAAAGAUUUUCCCUUUGUCGUAUACC